rnacentral:lncRNA from 1 species
AAAAUCAUUAUCCCCUUUGCCAUUUCUCGAAUGCGCCGCAGCUCUCCCCCUUUUCUCCGUCAUUUGGGUCCCCUUUUCCAACCAUCUACGGCGACGUGAGGGCACUCCGAUGUCGUCCCGAUGGUAAGUUUCCUCUCUACUCCUUCCCCCCGUUUAUUUGUUUUAAAAAAAAACCAGAGCCAAAAUGAAAAUAAAAGACAGUAAAAAGAAAAAAGGAAAAAAAACGAUUGGUCACCUUCAAAAAAAAUAUUUCUUUUUAUUCCUUGCUUCUGUGUUUUCCAACCCGAUUGUGCAACCCUUUUACAAAAAUCGAUUGGCUAUUUAUACAAGACUCUUUAAAAUUUUUCUUUUGUUGUAUCCCCCCGGUCUUACUAGUGCCGUUCGUGAUUUAUUUGUUGCAGGUACGUGGAAACGGUGAGGCUGCCAGACGUGGGUGAGGCGACGUGGACAGUUGCUGCGGAGGGAGAACGUGCGCGGCGCUGGGGGAGAAGGGUUAGGGUUUCUGGAAACAGUUUAGAAUUAGGUUAAUUGGGUUAGGCUAGAUUUGGGCUUGGGUUAAUAGGCUAUUAAUUUUAAAUUUGGGUCGCUGAAGCUAUAGGCUAAUUGGGCCUUGUAAUUGGACAAAACUUGUAAAUGGUUUUGGGCUGUUGUAAUAUGGACUGUUAUUUAUAUUUGGUUUUUUAGCCAGGCUAAAAUUGGCCUAUUACAUAUAUUAUUAUUAUUUUAUGUUCUACUGUAUGAUAGAAAUAUAGUAUAAAAAUUUCGUUAAGAAAUUUUAUCGUUUACAUACCUAAUUUGAUGAAAAAG